AGGACGAACGCUGGCGGCGUGCUUAACACAUGCAAGUCGAGCGGUAAGGCCCUUUCGGGGGUACACGAGCGGCGAACGGGUGAGUAACACGUGGGUGACCUGCCCCCUACUCUGGGAUAAGCCUGGGAAACUGGGUCUAAUACCGGAUAUGACUCAAGGCUGCAUGGUUUUGGGUGGAAAGCUUUUGUGGUGGGGGAUGGGCCCGCGGCCUAUCAGCUUGUUGGUGGGUGAUGGCCUACCAAGGCUUCGACGGGUA
rnacentral:rRNA from 1 species